UACGUAGGGGGCAAGCGUUGUCCGGAAUCAUUGGGCGUAAAGCGCGUGUAGGCGGUCCGAUAAGUCGGUUGUGAAAGUCCAGGGCUCAACCCUGGGAUGCCGACCGAUACUGUCGGACUAGAGUACGGAAGAGGCGAGUGGAAUUCCUGGUGUAGCGGUGAAAUGCGCAGAUAUCAGGAGGAACACCGAUUGCGAAGGCAGCUCGCUGGGACGUUACUGACGCUGAGACGCGAAAGCGUGGGGAGCAAGCAGG
rnacentral:rRNA from 1 species